UUGAAAUAUAGGCUGUUGCUGGUCCUCAAACGGGGGCAUGUGCACGCUCUGUUCACACAUCCACCCACACCUGUGCACCCUCUGUAGUUCUAUGGUCUGGGGGACACACCAUCUCCCUCCUGUAGUUCUACGUCUUUACACACACACACCGUAGCAAAGUCUUAUGGAAUGUGCAUCGCGUUUAACGCAAUACAAUA
rnacentral:misc_RNA from 1 species